rnacentral:rRNA from 1 species
AACGAACGCUGGCGGCAGGCCUCAUACAUGCAAGUCGAGCGCACCUUCGGGUGAGCGGCGGACGGGUGAGUAACGUGUGGGAACGUGCCCUAAGGUACGGAAUAGCCUCGGGAAACUGAGAGUAAUACCGUAUGUGCCCUUCGGGGGAAAGAUUUAUCGCCUUAGGAUCGGCCCGCAUUAGAUUAGAUAGUUGGUGGGGUAAUGGCCUACCAAGUCUACGAUCUAUAUCUGGUUUGAGAGGAUGAUCAGACACACUGGGACUGAGACACGGCCCAGACUCCUACGGGAGGCAGCAGUAGGGAAUCUUGGACAAUGGGGGAAACCCUGAUCCAGCCAUGCCGCGUGAGUGACGAAGGCCUUAGGGUCGUAAAGCUCUUUCGCUAGGGAAGAUAAUGACGGUACCUAGUAAAGAAGUCCCGGCUAACUCCG